UAAUCAUUUCAGAGUCAAGAUGAAGAUGCUAUCUGAAAUUUCUAUUCUAUGAAUGACAUCUGGAUAUUGAUUUCCUGAAAUUUUCUUGAAACUAAACCUUGUCCUCUCUUGAGGAUACACCUCCAACAGCCACAAAGAAGCCAGCCUAGCUCUCAGUCCAGGUACCAACUAUCCAGGACAAUCAUUACUUCCUCUCAGGCAGCUUCAAGGCUGAAACAAUGGCCCAUGACUUCUGUCUCUCCUCAAUCAAUUCCCUCACUGGAAUUCUUCCCCACUUCCCCUGAACAAAGACCAGCUUGUUCAUUUGCAUUUCGUUGGCAGAUAAUAUUACUUGAGAUAUCAUUCGUUAUUUUUAUCUUAACAUACAUGGGGGUGGGGAGGAGAAAAAGAAAUUAAGCAAACUGUGAAUGUCCCUUUGUUCGGUGUUAUCUGUUUCUGUUAACUAUAUAAGAUGUUGGUAGAUGGCAAACAAACUCCCUGAGAAAAAAACAGUGGGAGUUUUCAUAUGAAAGUGUUCAGAGAGCGGUUCAAUGAUCACUCUGCAAGAUAUUGUAGGAAAUAUCUGCACCCGUCUGAGAGAUUAACUAGAUGCCUUCUAAGGACCCAUUUAUUUCCAUGGUUUAGUGAUACAAUAAUUAAUUUAUGCAACAAAUAUUGAGUAUUUACCAUUUGCAAGGCACAAGGAGUAGCUGAAAUCUAGAAACUUUGCAUGUGAAAUGUUUAACUUUUUUGUCUAACACAUUUCAUACAAGGGUUUAAAAUUAGAUCCAGGGUUGGCGAGAGGCAUAUAAUAUCUAAGAUGUUACUGAAAUACAAGAAUAAAACCAUUGUUUUCACUGUGGAAGAGAAGCAAUGUUUCCUCACUUGGUAGCGUAAAAUUUGUUUUUGCCAUUAAAGACUGAUUUUUCUUCCUACGUUAAACAUAUUAAACACUAAUAGGAAAAUUAAGCCACUUGUUGAUUUUUUUCUUUUCUUUUUGCCAAUAGAAUAACACUUUUCUUCUCUCUCAGUAGAACACCCCCUUCCAUGUGAGAAACUCAUGACACAGGAUUUUGGGAAGGAUCAACCUGCUCCUUCACCCACUGACAAGGGAAAGUAAUGACAUAGCGCCAGCUCCAUAAGAGUUGCCAUCCCCCUUCUCAAGGAGUUGAUGGGCCCAAGGAUGAAAACAUGAUUGAUUCAAGGAUGGAAAAUGAUCAGAGUCUGGAAAAUCAGGUUCCACAGAAUCUUUUUUGCUGAGGGUAUCUGUAAAGAUUCUAUUCACCGGUUACAAAUUUGGUAAGAUGUGAGCUUGGUGUAGCUGACUGGCCAUACCAUCAGCUAUGUGUAGACAGACUGUCCACGAGCUGGAGAGACAGAGCUUUGACAAUGUUACAGUAUUCCUGUAUUCAGCCUUCUUCUAACUUGGUCUCCUUCUUAUGCAAAUAAACACAGAGACCUAAUCCACAUUUUUCAUGUAUUCUCCAAACCGAACUUAAUAAACAUGUUAAGUAAAUUGAAA